AGAGUUUGAUCCUGGCUCAGAAUCAACGCUGGCGGCGUGCCUAACACAUGCAAGUCGAGCGCGAAAGGGGGGGUAACUCCCCAAGUAGAGCGGCGAACGGGUGAGUAACGCGUGGGUGAUCUACCUUCGAGUGGGGAACAACAGCGGGAAACUGCUGCUAAUACCGCAUGACAUCCUCGGGUCGCACCGAGGAUCAAAGCCGGGGACCGCAAGGCCUGGCGCUUGAAGAGGAGCCCGCGUCCGAUUAGCUAGUUGGCGGGGUAAUGGCCCACCAAGGCGACGAUCGGUAGCCGGCCUGAGAGGGCGGACGGCCACACUGGGACUGAGACACGGCCCAGACUCCUACGGGAGGCAGCAGUGGGGAAUUUUUCGCAAUGGGGGAAACCCUGACGAAGCAACGCCGCGUGGAGGAUGAAGGCCUUCGGGUCGUAAACUCCUGUCGACCGGGACGAAAGUAGUCUGGCCCAAUACGCCGGGCUAUCGACUGUACCGGUGGAGGAAGCCACGGCUAACUCUGUGCCAGCAGCCGCGGUAAUACAGAGGUGGCAAGCGUUGUUCGGAAUUACUGGGCGUAAAGGGCGCGUAGGCGGCCUUCCAAGUCCCGUGUGAAAUCCCUCGGCUCAACUGAGGAAUUGCACGGGAAACUGUUUGGCUUGAGUUCGGGAGAGGGAAGCGGAAUUCCGGGUGUAGCGGUGAAAUGCGUAGAUAUCCGGAGGAACACCGGUGGCGAAGGCGGCUUCCUGGACCGACACUGACGCUGA
rnacentral:rRNA from 1 species